GAUGAACGCUGGCGGCGUGCCUAAUACAUGCCAGUCGAGCGAACAGACGAGGAGCUUGCUCCUCUGACGUUAGCGGCGGACGGGUGAGUAACACGUGGAUAACCUACCUAUAAGACUGGGAUAACUUCGGGAAACCGGAGCUAAUACCGGAUAAUAUAUUGAACCGCAUGGUUCAAUAGUGAAAGACGGUUUUGCUGUCACUUAUAGAUGGAUCCGCGCCGCAUUAGCUAGUUGGUAGGGUAACGGCUUACCAAGGCAACGAUGCGUAGCCGACCUGAGAGGGUGUUCGGCCACACUGGAACUGAGACGCGGUCCAGACUCCUACGGGAGGCAGCAGUAGGGAAUCUUCCGCAAUGGGCGAAAGCCUGACGGAGCGACGCCGCGGGAGUGAUGAAGGUCUUCGGAUCGUAAAACUCUGUUAUUAGGGAAGAACAAAUGUGUAAGUAACGAUGCACGUCUUGACGGUACCUAAUCAGAAAGCCACGGCUAACUACGU
rnacentral:rRNA from 1 species